UUUUUUUUUUAAAUCAAGCUCCUAGUUUCAACGACUCAUCAGAUUACAUUCUCCAUAAAUGAUCCUUUGUGGAUGUGGAUUUUCUAGAGGGAGGUUGUGGCCAGAGGGGCUACUACUUACAGAUUUGGGUCUGGAGCAUGUUCUUCUCCAUUCAUUCUCAACGAUGCCAGCUAUUACAAGUUCCUGGAAGAAGGCAAAGAUCAGCAUCACUGACAAAAUGCCCUGAAAAACAACAGAAGAAUGAAGGUUCAGGAGUACAUGUGCAGAUGUGUUAUACAGAAAAGCUAACCACUUUGAGCUUCAAUUUUUAUGACUAUGACAAAAGACAUACCUACCCUGAGGACUGUCAGGACAAGUGAGAUGAUACAGUGCUAGUCAACAACAUUGUUCACAAUCACAGUCCUCUGAGUGGCACCCCACAAUUGAGAAGGGCAGAGAAAUUAAUAAUUCAAUAAUGCUGAAAGUCAUCAAUGCAAUCAAAAUUCCCUGUAACAGAAGAAGAAAAAAAAGAAGAGUCAUGAUGUUAGCAGGCAUUCUUGUACAUGUACCCUUAUGUAGGUGGUUUAAUUGCUGUAGAGAUAGACAUCUGGAUCUGUUUAUCAGUCAGCAGGAAGAAGCUGAUCCUAUGAUCAUCUUGGGGCCGUGGAUACUUGACACAUUAAGGGAUUCUAGGAAGUGGCCGGAGUGUGGAGUGAGAAGAAUGAAGUCCUGGAAUAAUGUCAGAAAGAUACUUCUCAGGGAAGAGUUGUUCCAUCAGGUCAGUAUGAUUGGAAGGCUUAAUAAACUAAAUUCUGACUCAUUAAAGUCAGAAGACAAACCAAGUUUUAGAAUGGGCCAAGGAUGCUCUAUGGCUAAUGCUAAAGAAAAUGUUCAUUUCAUCCCAUUUUAUCUCGUUUUAUCCCCACCAUCUUUCAUAAUCUGGAAGCAGUACAAUGUGUUAGCAAAUAUAUUUGCUUGGAAAUGAAACCUCAUUUCAAGUCCAAGUUUCAUUGGGACCUUAUGCAAGCAACCGAAUCUCUUGGAAUCUCAAUUUCUGCCUUUAAAAAUGUGAAUGUGUCACCUUUUAGGGUAGUACCCAUUUAUUCAUUUAUUUCAUAAAUAUUUAAUGUGCACCAGAUACGUGUGAGUACUGCAUUAGGCCCUGGUGGAGACACAAAAAUGAACAAAAGAGGUGACAUCCUGCAAUCACGCAGUUUACAGUCAUUCCCUGGGAGAAUUCAAACGAUAAUCAACAGAAUCAUGAACAUUUAAAGAUGUUAACCUAUUUGGACUGGAGUUUAAAGGUGUUCUUUCUUGAACUCAGUGUUCCAAUAAGAAUAUUUCACAUUGCCCCACCCAAUUCCUUUUAUUCAUUCCUAUUUUUUGUGGGAGAGGGAGU